AGCAGCCGCGGUAAUUCCAGCUCCAAUAGCGUAUAUUAAAGUUGUUGCAGUUAAAAAGCUCGUAGUUGAAUUUCGGGAUCAAUACGUUGGUCGUGCUUUCGGGUACGUACUGGCGUCAUUGGUUUCUCUCUUCUGACGAACCAUGAUGUCAUUAGUUUGGUGUUAUGGGGAGUUAGGACUGUUACUUUGAAAAAAUUAGAGUGUUUAAAGCAGGCUCACGCUUGAAUACAUUAGCAUGGAAUAAUGAAAUAGGACGUUUGAUUCUAUUUUGUUGGUUUCUAGGAUUGACGUAAUGAUUAAUAGGGAUAGUUGGGGGCAUUAGUAUUCAAUUGUCAGAGGUGAAAUUCUUGGAUUUAUUGAAGACUAACUACUGCGAAAGCAUUUGCCAAGGAUGUUUUCAUUAAUCAAGAACGAAAGUUAGGGGAUCGAAGACGAUCAGAUACCGUCGUAGUCUUAACCAUAAACUAUGCCGACUAGGGAUCGGAUGAUGUUAAUUUUUUAAUGACUCAUUCGGCGCCUU
rnacentral:rRNA from 1 species